CAGCCGCCGCGGUAAUACGAAGGGGGCUAGCGUUGUUCGGAUUUACUGGGCGUAAAGGGCGCGUAGGCGGGCGAAUAAGUCAGGGGUGAAAUCCCAAGGCUCAACCUUGGAGCUGCCUUUGAUACUGUUUGUCUUGAGUUCGAGAGAGGUAAGUGGAACUGCGAGUGUAGAGGUGAAAUUCGUAGAUAUUCGCAAGAACACCAGUGGCGAAGGCGGCUUACUGGCUCGAAACUGACGCUGAGGCGCGAAAGCGUGGGGAGCAAACAGGAUUAGAUACCCGUGUAGUCCCUGUCUCUUAUAA
rnacentral:rRNA from 1 species